GAUGAACGCUGGCGGCGUGCCUAAUACAUGCAAGUCGAGCGAACGGACGAGAAGCUUGCUUCUCUGAUGUUAGCGGCGGACGGGUGAGUAACACGUGGAUAACCUACCUAUAAGACUGGGAUAAUUUCGGGAAACCGGAGCUAAUACCGGAUAAUAUUUUGAACCGCAUGGUUCAAAAGUGAAAGACGGUCUUGCUGUCACUUAUAGAUGGAUCCGCGCUGCAUUAGCUAGUUGGUAAGGUAACGGCUUACCAAGGCAACGAUGCAUAGCCGACCUGAGAGGGUGAUCGGCCACACUGGAACUGAGACACGGUCCAGACUCCUACGGGAGGCAGCAGUAGGGAAUCUUCCGCAAUGGGCGAAAGCCUGACGGAGCCACGCCGCGUGAGUGAUGAAGGUCUUCGGAUCGUAAAACUCUGUUAUUAGGGAAGAACAUAUGUGUAAGUAACUGUGCACAUCUUGACGGUACCUAAUCAGAAAGCCACGGCUAACUACGUG
rnacentral:rRNA from 1 species